ACGGAAGGUCGGGGGGUUAUGCGGAUUUAUUGGGUUUAAAGGGAGCGUAGGCCGGAGAUUAAGCGUGUUGUGAAAUGUAGGCGCUCAACGUCUGCACUGCAGCGCGAACUGGUUUCCUUGAGUACGCACAAAGUGGGCGGAAUUCGUGGUGUAGCGGUGAAAUGCUUAGAUAUCACGAAGAACUCCGAUUGCGAAGGCAGCUCACUGGAGCGCAACUGACGCUGAAGCUCGAAAGUGCGGGUAUCGAACAG
rnacentral:rRNA from 1 species